rnacentral:rRNA from 1 species
UACGUAGGGGGCAAGCGUUGUCCGGAAUGAUUGGGCGUAAAGGGCGCGUAGGCGGCCAUGUAAGUCCGAUGUGAAAGUCCUGCUUUUAAGGUGGGAAUUGCAUUGGAAACUGUGUGGCUUGAGUGCAGGAGAGGUAAGUGGAAUUCCCGGUGUAGCGGUAAAAUGCGUAGAGAUCGGGAGGAACACCAGUGGCGAAGGCGACCUACUGGACUGUAACUGACGCUGAGGCGCGAAAGUGUGGGGAGCAAACAGGAUUAGAUACCCUGGUAGUCCACACUGUAAACGAUGAAUGCUAGGUGUAGGGGGUAUCGACCCCUUCUGUGCCGGAGUAAACACAAUAAGCAUUCCGCCUGGGGAGUACGGCCGCAAGGUUGAA